UAAGACGAACCGUGCGAACGUUAUUCGGAAUUACUGGGCUUAAAGCGCGUGUAGGCGGAUCGGCACGUCCGAGGCUGAAAGCCCCCGGCUCAACCGGGGAAGGGGCCCGGAUACGACCGGUCUGGAGGGGGGUAGGGGGCGCUGGAACUUCCGGUGGAGCGGUGAAAUGCGUUGAGAUCGGAAGGAACGCCCGUGGCGAAAGCGAGCGCCUGGGCCCCACCUGACGCUGAGACGCGAAAGCCAGGGGAGCGAACGGGAUUAGAUACCCCGGUAGUCCUGGCCGUAAACCAUGAGCACUGGGUAGGGGGCUCGCCGAUGGGCUCCCUGCCGUAGCGAAAGCGUGAAGUGCUCCGCCUGGGGAGUAUGGUCGCAAGGCUG
rnacentral:rRNA from 1 species